CCCAAACCUUCUAUCCCUUCUCUAACAUUUCUAUCCCUUCUCUAACAUAUUCUUCUUCCACCCCUCCGGCGAUUCCGACGAUUCCAACCUAGCGGUAGCUUCCGGCGGCGGCGACGACAUUAACAUUGAGGAAGUGAUUUCGAGUUAAAAAGAUAUUCCGGAGCUAAAUUGAAUAAGUUAGAGCUUUAAAGUCCGAGUAAAAGUCCAAGGGAUUAAAUGGGGAUCGUGUUCGGAGGGUCGGGAGCCGAGUAUGGAUAUCAAAAAUCAAGAAAAUGAAACACUCUAGAAAUCUUGCACUACCGCACCGCAUGGGGCGGCGCGACACUAAAUUUUGAUGCUGUCUAUCAGAACUUACUCUCUGAACUUCCCCACAAGCGCCCCGCAUGGGGCGGCGCGAGGGGUGGCGCGCCUGUGUGAUUUUCUUAUAGUAUUUGUCCUGUUUCGGCUAGAAAAAGGUAAUUUCACCUGGGCCCACUCCUACAUGGUAUAAAUACAUCAAAAGCCGUUUUUGAAUGGACUUUUGACCUUGGAAGCUUUGGGAGAGCAUUGGAGACUACAAGACACAAGAUUUCAUCAUCUUUCCAUCAAUUCAAUACGGGAGUUUGGAUUGUAAAUUUAGAUUGAUGCUUUCUUAUUCUUCAAUUAUAAUUGUGAUGAUUACCUCUAUGAUUAUGCAGUAAUUUACCUUCAAGUUUGACGGAUAUGGUGUUUUGAUAAAUAUUUAUGAAUUUUAACUCUAGUUCUUGCUUGAA